AGAGUUUGAUCCUGGCUCAGGACGAACGCUGGCGGCGUGCCUAAUACAUGCAAGUCGAGCGAGCCGAACUAAUUGAUUACCUUCGGGUAUGAAGUUAGGGAAGCGAGCGGCGGAUGGGUGAGUAACACGUGGGUAACCUACCCUAUAGUCUGGGAUACCACUUGGAAACAGGUGCUAAUACCGGAUAAAAGGAGAGAUCACAUGAUUUCUUUUUGAAAGGCGGCGUAAGCUGUCGCUAAAGGAUGGACCCGCGGUGCAUUAGCUAGUUGGUAAGGUAACGGCUUACCAAGGCAACGAUGCAUAGCCGAGUUGAGAGACUGAUCGGCCACAUUGGGACUGAGACACGGCCCAAACUCCUACGGGAGGCAGCAGUAGGGAAUCUUCCACAAUGGACGCAAGUCUGAUGGAGCAACGCCGCGUGAGUGAAGAAGGGUUUCGGCUCGUAAAACUCUGUUGUUGAAGAAGAACAUAUCUGAGAGUAACUGUUCAGGUAUUGACGGUAUUUAACCAGAAAGCCACGGCUAACUACGUGCCAGCAGCCGCGGUAAUACGUAGGUGGCAAGCGUUGUCCGGAUUUAUUGGGCGUAAAGCGAGCGCAGGCGGAAAGAUAAGUCAGAUGUGAAAGCCCUCGGCUUAACCGAGGAAUAGCAUCGGAAACUGUCUUUCUUGAGUGCAGAAGAGGAGAGUGGAACUCCAUGUGUAGCGGUGGAAUGCGUAGAUAUAUGGAAGAACACCAGUGGCGAAGGCGGCUCUCUGGUCUGUAACUGACGCUGAGGCUCGAAAGCAUGGGUAGCGAACAGGAUUAGAUACCCUGGUAGUCCAUGCUGUAAACGAUGAAUGCUAAGUGUUGGAGGGUUUCCGCCCUUCAGUGCUGCAGCUAACGCAUUAAGCACUCCGCCUGGGGAGUACGACCGCAAGGUUGAAACUCAAAGGAAUUGACGGGGGCCCGCACAAGCGGUGGAGCAUGUGGUUUAAUUCGAAGCAACGCGAAGAACCUUACCAGGUCUUGACAUCUAGUGCCAACCUAAGAGAUUAGGCGUUCCCUUCGGGGACACUAAGACAGGUGGUGCAUGGCUGUCGUCAGCUCGUGUCGUGAGAUGUUGGGUUAAGUCCCGCAACGAGCGCAACCCUUAUUGUCAGUUGCCAGCAUUCAGUUGGGCACUCUGGCGAGACUGCCGGUGACAAACCGGAGGAAGGUGGGGAUGACGUCAAGUCAUCAUGC
rnacentral:rRNA from 1 species